CUGGAGCUGUGCAAUUGUUUGCUCAAGUCUUUGGGCCACUAAAUGUCAACAUAGCAAACUGUUAUAAAGUUAUUGCACGAAUUCAUCAUGCUCUAGGAGACAGUAAACUAGUAAGUGGUGCAUGUAACUACAUUUUAGUUUAAAUGA